rnacentral:rRNA from 1 species
GAUGAACGCUGGCGGCGUGCCUAAUACAUGCAAGUCGAACGCUUCACUUCGGUGAAGAGUGGCGAACGGGUGAGUAAUACAUAAGUAACCUGGCAUCUACAGGGGGAUAACUGAUGGAAACGUCAGCUAAGACCGCAUAGGUGUAGAGGUCGCAUGAACUCUAUAUGAAAAGUGCUACGGGACUGGUAGAUGAUGGACUUAUGGCGCAUUAGCUUGUUGGUAGGGUAACGGCCUACCAAGGCGACGAUGCGUAGCCGACCUGAGAGGGUGACCGGCCACACUGGGACUGAGACACGGCCCAGACUCCUACGGGAGGCAGCAGUAGGGAAUUUUCGGCAAUGGGGGAAACCCUGACCGAGCAACGCCGCGUGAAGGAAGAAGGAAUUCGUUACGUAAACUUCUGUCAUAGAGGAAGAACGGUGGAUAUAGGGAAUGAUAUCCAAGUGACGGUACUCUAUAAGAAAGCCACGGCUAACUACGUG